rfam:Picea glauca, whole genome shotgun sequence.
ACAUGCUUACAGCAUAGCAUUAAUGCACUGAAUCCAUUAGAACUCCAUAGUUAUGUGCGCUCGGGCUAGAGUAGUACUGGGAUGGGUGACAGUCCAAGAAGUCCUAGUGUUUUACAUGCC